UCAAUGACUUAUAAGGCAGGUUAUUCGAACGCACUACUUAGACAGCAAUUCCAUCGGGUUUCGCAUUUCGCGUUUAGCAUCUUGCCAUUAAAACCAAUAAACUGAGGUAGCACAGCACGCUAACGUCAAUAUAACAUCUUCCUUCAUGUACCGAUAACGGUUACAUUUCCUGACAAGCCCGAACUUGCAAAUAAAAACACUCGGUACACGUUUAUACAAGUUAAAUCAGUAAUAUUUUAUUUACGCUUGAAAAUAACAUUCGUUUGUCCGCCCCGUCAGCCAUGUUUAUCUUUCUGUGAGAGAAGAACGCCCGACCCGAAAUGAAUGCUGGGAUUGCCUCGAUCACUAAGGACGCUUCCGAUGCUCACUUGUUCUUGAGCCAAAAUAACAUUGAAAUAAUAAGAUGCCUCAGAAGUGAGGAUUUUAAGGCAUCUAGGAUUUCGAACAGCCUCAUUCUCGGGAGCGCAGCACAGGAUGACGUAAAAUGCUGCCUAUGUAGACAGCACACUAGCUUUUCGAACACACCCACUGUCUGACUUUUUUAUCGGGUAAAAUGUCCCGCAGCCAAACAGAACCCUCAAAGUUGGGCCUCGAGCCUGCGAAACACGUGGCCGGUACCCCUGAGGGAGAAGUGGACAUCCGCCUGAUUCCGUGGUCAGCGCUUCACUGCUGCAAACUGCGAUGGACACGCUAAAGUCCGACAUUUGUAGCAGACUUGAUUCCUUCUCUUCUGGUCUUCGGACGGAAAUCACGGCUGUUAAAUUAAAACUCUCCAACUUGGUUAAUCCCUUACAACAAAAACUGGACUCGCAUGAUGAAACGCUGCGGGAACUGUAGCGCUGCGCUAAUGAUAACAGUACACAAGCGGCUAUUGUCAAACUCACCACCCAAGGCAAACGCCUCGAGGACAGAUGUGAGGACCCUGGGGCACUCUCGCGAAAAAGUCAUUCGUGAAUAAGUCCCAGAAGGAUCGGAGGGAGCUGGGGUUUCGGACUUUGCUUCAAGACGUGCUCGGACUCGACGAGAAACCACUGCUGGAUCGGGCACAUGGAACCCUCCGUGCAAAACCCAAAGAAACUGAGACGUUCAGGAAACUGAACUCAAAUAGCCUAUUGUUCUGUGCGCUCUGUACCAGGGGAGGAUGAACGUAAGCAACCUAAUUUCCUGAGAAAUGAGCUGGAAAAUGAAACAAUGCAUCCAGAUGUUUCCUGUUUAACUACACAGAGAGUGUGAGGGACGGUUGAACAGGAACCGACAAGCCUUGCAUUUCUGCUGUGUGUGCCCAAAGAAGAACAUUCUUGCUCAGCUGACUCAUAAGAAAACUUGAUUGACAAGUACUAGAGAAGGAGGAGUCAGCUUUAUAAAAAAGGAACUGCACACCCACAGGGGAUGAGACUUCUGCAUGCAGCUGCAGAACAAGAUCAGCAUCUUACAAACACAUCAGCGGCUGAAGCUUUUUCUUCUUACUCAAGUAUCUCUGCAGACCGGGGAACCUUCUUCUUCUUCUUCUGUGAUUUUUAUUGGCAGUUUGCAUUCUUUGUGCAUUACCGCCAUCCACUGGACUGAUGUGUGAUCACUUUAGGACUUCAUGUUAAUAAA